UACGAAGGAGGCGAGCGUUGUUCGGAUUUACUGGGCGUAAAGGGCGCGCAGGCGGCGAUCUUUGUCAGGCGUGAAAGCCCCGGGCUUAACCUGGGAACUGCGCUUGGGACGGGAUUGCUGGAGACCGGGAGAGGUAAGCGGAAUUCCUGGUGUAGCGGUGAAAUGCGUAGAUAUCAGGAAGAACACCCGUGGCGAAAGCGGCUCUCUGGAACGGUACUGACGCUGAGGCGCGAAAGCUAGGGGAGCAAACAGG
rnacentral:rRNA from 1 species